rnacentral:rRNA from 1 species
AGCAGCCGCGGUAAUUCCAGCUCCAAUAGCGUAUAUUAAAGUUGCUGCAGUUAAAAAGCUCGUAGUUGAAUUUCGGGACCAUCAUGUCGGUCGUGCCUCGGUACGUACUGGCAUUGUUGGUUUCUCCCUUCUGACGAACCAUGAUGUCAUUAAUUUGGUGUGGCGGGAAAUCAGGACUGUUACUUUGAAAAAUUAGAGUGUUUAAAGCAGGCUCGCGCUUGAAUACAUUAGCAUGGAAUAAUGAAAUAGGACGUUCGAUCCUAUUUUGUUGGUUUCUAGGAUUGACGUAAUGAUUAAUAGGGAUAGUUGGGGGCAUUAGUAUUCAAUUGUCAGAGGUGAAAUUCUUGGAUUUAUUGAAGACUAACUACUGCGAAAGCAUUUGCCAAGGAUGUUUUCAUUAAUCAAGAACGAAAGUUAGGGGAUCGAAGACGA